UGCAGUCGAACGAGACCUUCGGGUCUAGUGGCGCACGGGUGAGUAACGCGUGGAAACCUACCAUUCUGUACGGAAUAACGAUUGGAAACGAUCGCUAAUACCGUAUACGCCCUGUGGGGGAAAGGUCCGCCGCAGAAUGAGGGGUCCGCGUCCGAUUAGCUUGUUGGUGGGGUAAAAGCCUACCAAGGCGAUGAUCGGUAGCUGGUCUGAGAGGAUGAUCAGCCACACUGGGACUGAGACACGGCCCAGACUCCUACGGGAGGCAGCAGUGGGGAAUAUUGGACAAUGGGGGGCAACCCUGAUCCAGCAAUGCCGCGUGUGUGAAGAAGGCCUUAGGGUUGUAAAGCACUUUCAAUGGUGAAGAUGAUGACGGUAGCCCGUAGAAGAAGCCCCGGCUAACUUCGUGCCAGCAGCCGCGGUAAUACGAAGGGGGCGAGCGUUGUUCGGAAUUACUGGGCGUAAAGGGCGCGCAGGCGGCCAAUCCAGUCAGGUGGUGAAAGCCCCGGGC
rnacentral:rRNA from 1 species